CUGUUCGUAGCUCAGUCUGGUAGAGUUCUCGCCUUGGAAGUGAGGGGCCGGUGGAUCGAAGCCACCCGGACAGACCA
rnacentral:tRNA from 1 species